AGAAGGAGGCAACAUGGGCACUUGAACCAGCGAUCCCUGUGUUGGUAGGCAACGGUAUAAACCACCCAGAUGCUCAAGCAACACAGUUUUAAAAAAUGACAGCUAUCAGCAGGCAGGGGAUUCACUUCACCAGGUCUCUCAAAGAUAAGCAAUCGCUUCAGCAAACAAGCUUAUCUGCUGAGAAACACUUAAUGUUCUGCUGGUGGAGGACGUGGCCUUGCUUUCUAAGUAUAAACAAGUGUAAUACCCUUUCCACCACUCUGUUACUGCAGACCCACUGACCCCUGUUCCACCCCAGACUGCAUCAACACAACCCGCAACAACUGUCUUACUGCAUACACUCAGUAAAUAAAGUAUGGAGUGCUGGCAGUCAGCAUCAACAUCUGCAUAUCUGUGAUAAUGGAUGGAUGGAUGGAUGGAUGGAUGGAUCUGCAUAUCUUCCAUUAGUCUAUCUUGGCAGAAACAGGUGCAGGGAAGGAAACAGUGAGAAGAAAAAAGAAAUCCAGGUCAUCUUCAGACACUUACCUGCAUGGUAGGCAAUAGACCCUCGGCUCCAGCCAGGGUGUCUGUUUUUGGGGUAGUUCUGUGGUUUCAUGAAACGACAGUGAGAUUAGUCAGACCAGAAAACGUACCAUGCCAGAAACAUUCCUUCUGACUCAGUGUGCAUGAACAGGAAGUCUUGUUCAUGCACACUCAUGUACAAAAAGUCCACAAAUGAAUAAAUAACAGUGGUGGCUGGCCAGUAGAGGGCGCUGGGGCGCCACCCCUUCAAACAUCAAGAGAUGAAAAUCUACUUAAACAUGUUAAAUAUAAUUUAGUUGUAUAAUGCAAAUAAUGAUGAAAUAAAAGUGUUUUCAGUCUGUCAGCAGCAUUAAAUAUUGGUUCAAAUGGUGUUUGGUUGGUUCCUGUCUGAAUACAUAUACUUCCUGGGUGAUGGGCGCCGGCCAAACAAUACCUUAUGUAAGCCCUCAAACUUGUGGCGAGCAGGUGACCUGAGGCUGCUGUCUGAUUGGUUUCUUCAGAUUUUCCAGGGGGCGCAGUUCUGUGCUGCCCCAGACACUCCCACUUUUAUUGCCAGCGAAUUGGUAUUGUUUUAAUGUUUUUUUAUCUAAUGUGAUUGGACAAUUCUCGUGGCUGUCAAUCAUGUUAACACCCACCACGGCGCCUCGUAUGGACUGUCAAUCAUCCUCAGGAAACACAACUCCCGGAAAACGAUCAGUGAGAUGACAGAGCCCCAUCCUCCAUGCAGCCUGGCCCCGGGGUGCAACUGAUGCACUCGGUGCAGAGCGCGAUGUGUUGGCGUGCAGAGGAAUGGAGAUGAAUGGAGACGAAGAGGAAGUGCCAAGAUGCAGGGUCCUGGUGGAAAGUAUGCCAUUGCUGGUGAAGGAGAAGAAGAGGGGGAAGGCAUGAACAGAGGCAGUGGGAGAGGAGGAAGGGCAGGAGUGUGGAGAAUCUUGAGUUACGCAGGGCUCAGGACUACCGGCACCUCAACCUCCCAGAGGGGCAAAGAAUACUGGCUUUUCUGGACGGACAGAGUUC